CUUGCUUCUCUAUCUCAACGGUUACAAACUAAAACAAAAACACAAAACCCAAUCGAAAGAUUUGAAACACAAAAACAAUCUUUCUCAUAAGCCUGAUGAAAUUCGAACAAUAAAAGCAAAAAACCGCAUUUUGUCGGCGGUAGGGAGGAGGACAAGCGGCUGUGGAGGCGGAGCAAAUCGGUUGUGGAGAAAGACCCAUCUAUACUGCAUGAACUAUUCGCUCAUCACGCUCCUCAUCCUCUUCCUCAGCCUCCUCUGGCACCCGAUCUCCAUGAUCAUCUUCCUCGCCUGGUGGAUCGUUGUAGAUUUAUCAGGAAAAUCCGAAAGGCUUUCUUGGACGCUAUGAGUACCACGGUGGAUUUAUCAGGAAAAUCUGGAGGGCUUUCUCGGACGCUAUGUGUACCUCUGUGGGAUGUCUUUGGUAGUUCAAAUGUUCUCGAAUAUUGUGCGUACCUCGGUGGGGUGCCUUUGGUAUUUCAUUUAUGGGCAUUUACCUCGGAUGGUUCAAGUGGUCCAUCCAUGCUUGGACUGAGGGUGGUGUACCCUGUUUGGUCGAUUUCCAAAGUUCGGGAUCUUGGGGGUACUUUUGAUGAUCUCUAGUUUCAUCUUUUACUCUUGUUUUGGGGUAUGUGCUUCUAUAGUUGGGCUCCAUUUCUUGAAAUGACACAUUCUAGGCUUGUCUCGAUCUAAGGCCCAAUGUUUACUUGAGUUUUUAGUGCCACGUCCCAACAAAUCUCUAUUGGGAU